GGUGGCGUUAUGCCACUUGCAAUAUUUUAUCUUCUUCAGCUGUUUGACCAACGGGAUCGUAUGGUAUGGCAAGAGCUUUAUUUGUCCUUCCUGGAGGAGAAGGUCGAAAAUUUUAUCGGCCUUUGAUGUGUCGAAACCGAAUACUUCCGGCUCCUUUUUCCCGAACGGACACGAUAUCGGCUUUUUUCCUUUAACCCAUUCCGCCAGGCCGAUCUCUGUUUCUUCUUCGGAUUCAACCUCCUCUAAGUACGCCACCUUCUUCUGGAAGUUCCUUCGUGGAUCAAAGGGGCGUACUUCCU
rnacentral:lncRNA from 1 species